GUUACAUAUCCUUUCCUUUUUAUAAUGUAAGGGCGAAGAGUUUCUUUUUGAUUACGUAAAGGGUGAAAGAGGGAAGGAGAAAAGUCAAGGUUACCACAAACAAUACAAAAAGAAGUUACUAAUUGCUUAUAUGUUGGUCAGAGGUUACAUAUCCUUUCCUUUUUAUAAUGCAAGGGCGAAGAGUUCCUUUUUGAUUACGUAAAGGGAGAAAGAGGGAAGGAGAAAAGUCAAGGUUACCACAAACAAUACAAAAAGAAGUUACUAAUUGCUUAUAUGUUGGUCAGAGGUUACAUGUUCUUUCCUUCUGAUAAUCUAAGGGUGGCUUUUCUAAUUCGUAAAAGGAGAAAGAGGGAAGGAGAAAAGUCAAGGUUACGACAAACAAUACAAAAAGAAGUUACUAAUUGCUUAUAUGUUGGUCAGAGGUUACAUGUUCUUUCCUUCUGAUAAUCUAAGGGUGGCUUUUUAAAUUCGUAAAGGGAGAAAGAGGGAAGGGCAGAGUCAAGGGCACGACAAAUAACAUCAUACAAAAAGUCGUUUUAAUUGCUGUUAUGUUAGUGGUUGGUCAUGCAUUCUUUCCUUUUAAUAAUGUAAGGACGGCCGUAUAAAUUAGCAUACCCCAAAUCUCUAUGGCGCCAGUGUUCCUUCAUCAGCGAAUGUAAUAACAAAAAGUGCUGGUUCGUUUGAUCCUACCUCUAUGUUUUUCCUGGGCCAUAAUACGUGUUUCUCUUUAGAGUGUUAUUUGGGCACCAGCUUAAAUUAGCAUUGCCAUCUGUGUCCUCCCAGUGUUCCUCCGUCAAGGGACAUUAUACUAAAAGGCUAUCUGACUCUAGUAUUUAUAUUCUUUCCUUCUAACAUGAUAUUAAAAACAGUUCCAGCAGUAGGUUACAAUGCCUUUUCUGGUCUGAAGGCAUUAAGAUCACGAUGGGGUAACUGAAUAACGCACACCAAUGUCCCUUCAACAAGUAACACAAUGCAGAAACAAGGUCUUAGAGAAACUAUAGGCAUAGAUAAUGUGACUUUUCCUUCCUUUCUUUCCUGAUAAUGGUGUUUGGGCGUCUGUGUAAAUAAGUAUUGCCAGAGUCUAUGUCCCACCAGUGUUCCUCCACCAAGGGACACAAUACUAAAAGGCAAUCUCGGUCUUCAUUAAAUAUUCCUUAAUGAUAUUUGGGCGUGUGUUUAAAUUAGUAUUGCUGGCGUCCGUGUCUGGCCAGCGUUCCCCCAUCAAGAGACACAAUACUAACAGGCUAUCUCAUUCUACGUUCUAUAUUCUUUCCUGUUAAUGACAUUGGGCGCCUGUGUGAAUGAGCAUUGCCAUCAGUGCCUCCCUCUCUUCUCUCUCCAUAGCUCCCUUUUUUCCAUACUUUCUUCUCCCCCUUUCUCCCUUCUUUCCUCCCUUCCCUUCCUCCAUCAAGGGACAAUACUAACAGGCUAUCUCAUUCAAGUACGUUUUUAUAUUCUUUUCCUCUAAUGAUGUUCCCCGCCUGUGUGAAUUAGCAUUGCCGGCGUCCGUGUCCCGCCAGCAUACCUCCAUCAAGGGACAGUACUAACAGGCUAUCUCAUUCUCGUACAUUUAUAUUCUUUCCCUCUAUUGUAUUCAAGGGACAGUACUAACAGGCUAUCUCAUUCUAGUACAUUUAUAUUCUUUCCCUCUAUUAUAUUCAAGGGACAAUACUAACAGGCUAUCUCAUUCUAGUACAUUUUAUAUUAUUUCACUCUAAUGAUGUUCGCCGCCUGUGUGAAUGAGCAUUGCCGGCGUCCGUGUCCCGCCAGUGUACCUCCGUCAACGAAAAUAAUAAUAAAGGUUCUAAUUGUAGGUCAUAUGUUUUCACACUCGACUUAAAGAAAACAAGCCUACGUCCGCAUCAAGAACAGAGCAUCAAAACAAUCUCUACAAUAACAUCUGAUUGAAGAAAACUAAAAAAACAAAAUCAAAUGAGCUACAUAAAAAAAAGAUCUCAAAACACUCAAUAAUGGCAGGGCGCUCGUUGAAUGGGUAAUGGGUAAUGGGGUAAUGGGAUAGCAGAUGACCCCUUACGUCCCUUCAUCAGCGAACGUCAUGGUUAUAUUAUAUGUUUUGCUCUUUGCGAUGAUGUUGAUGCGUCUGUUUAAAUUAAUGCUGCCAGUCUAUGUCCGCCCGUGUUCCACCAUCAAGGGAAGGGUCAGAGCAAGCGAUUGACAUAAUGCAGAUGGUGGUGGUGGUGGUGGUGGUGGUGGUGGUGGUGGUGAUGGUGGUGGUGGUGGUG